GAUGAACGCUAGCGGCAGGCCUAACACAUGCAAGUCGAGGGGUAGAGGCUUUCGGGUCUUGAGACCGGCGCACGGGUGCGUAACGCGUAUGCAAUCUGCCUUGUACUGAGGGAUAGCCCAGAGAAAUUUGGAUUAACACCUCAUAGUAUUUUAGUGUGGCAUCACAUUAUUAUUAAAGGUUACGGUACAAGAUGAGCAUGCGUCCCAUUAGCUAGUUGGUAUGGUAACGGCAUACCAAGGCUACGAUGGGUAGGGGUCCUGAGAGGGAGAUCCCCCACACGGGUACUGAGACACGGACCAGACUCCUACGGGAGGCAGCAGUGAGGAAUAUUGGUCAAUGGUCGCAAGACUGAACCAGCCAUGCCGCGUGCAGGAUGAAGCAUCUAUGGUGUGUAAACUGCUUUUGUACGGGAAGAAACACCGCUACGUGUAGCGGCUUGACGGUACCGUAAGAAUAAGGAUCGGCUAACUCCGUGCCAGCCGCCGCAGUAAUAC
rnacentral:rRNA from 1 species